rnacentral:misc_RNA from 1 species
GACUGGUGUUCUGUUCUGUUAUCUUUCACCGUGGUGAGACGCUAGCGGCUAGACACUUAAGAGGAAAGACAAGUGAAUGUCGAAAUGUAUUAUUUAUGUGUAUGCUGUUUGUAUUUCCCCGAAAAAAAUGUAACUGAAAGACAAUUCUGAAGAUAGCAUAGCUCACACCGUUAAUUGUUCGAUUAUACGUCUUCAGUGUCAUCCUCCACUUUUUUCAGAAACAUAUGUAGCCUAUGAUAAGCUAGUGAAAUUUGAAAUAUUGCUUAUCUCUCUAAAUUAUGUGCAUGCCAGGUAUACAUGACAGACUUCGUAUGCAGCAAUAUCAAUGUCUCUUUUUCUCUGUGUGUUUUCCUGAAACCAGAUAUGUAAUCACUCGAAGAAAUAGUUUCUUUUUUGUUUUCAGUUAGCAAUUAGUGGAAGAUCACUUAGAGAAGAAGAAUGAUUUCCGCAUUAAAGGGUGAAAUUGACAUCCAGAAAUUGCCUGUGGAUUCAGAGGAACACAAGUUUAAUUCAUGGAAAGUAAAAUACAAGAAAAGUCACAUACUACACUCAAAAUGUGUCAAUGGGCCUUGCGAAGACGAUAAAAAUAAAUGCUUGUUGUGCAUUUACAACAGUGAACUAGAGCUUCCACAUUUACCUGACAUGGUGUUCCCCAACAAUGUGAUGGUGCUACAGCAUGAUAAUGGUUGUGGAAUAGAGUUCAAUGCCUUGGAUGCUCUGCGAAGAGUCAGUAAUGGAAAAUUAUCUUUGAAAGUUGCCUGUUCUGAGGAAUGGAAGGAAUCAAGACAGGAGCAUGGAAAUCUUGAUGAAGUUAAGCCAUUUGACUGGACAUUUACCACGGACUAUAUGGGCACAUUGUUGGGAAAUUUUAUUGUCAGACAAACAGAUGAGAGGAUAAAUAUUGAGAAACUACGGCAAAGGGAGCAAAUAUUAUUUUAUAAUGAUCUCACAUUGUUUGAAGAUGAGUUACAUGAUAAUGGCAUUGCAGUUUGCUCAGUGAAAGUGAGGGUAAUGCCAAGUAGUUUCUUUGUCUUGUUGCGGUACUUCCUGAGGGUGGACAAUGUCAUGUUGCGAACAAAUGAUACUCGGCUGUAUCAUGAAUUUGGAACAGAUUUUAUACUGAGAGAAUAUACAUCUAGAGCAGCUCAGGCAUCCGAAAUAAAACAUGUUCCACCUUCUGUCCUCAGAGAACCAAAUGAGGUGUCACCACUUCUUCCAUUAAUUGAGUCUCAUUAUUCUAAACUUAGCUUCCCAGAAAGCAGUUCUUCAGGAAUAAAAUAAUUUGCAGAAUGUAUGAUAAAGCCAACGUUGUCAUUUUUGGUGUGUGUGUGUGUGUGUGUGUGUGUGUGUGUGUGUGUGUGUGUGUGUGUGUGUGUGUGUGUGUGUGUGUGUGUGUGUACAUCAUGAAAAUUGUUAACCAGUACAAUAUAUUGUGAACAGAAUAGGUAUUCAUUGAACAAGUGUUCACAGAAUUAGUGAGACACUGUACUUUGCGCUCAUUUCCAACCUUGUGUGUGUGUGUGUGUGUGUGUGUGUGUGUGUGUGUGUGUAAAAGCAGACAUCAUGUUUUAUCAAUAUACAUUAAAAAAGUGAAAUUUUGAAAAGUAAA